GAGGUCGUUACGACGGCGAUGGCGCCUUCAGAUAUCGCGCAAAUACUUCCAACCGGCGCCGAUCGGACUAUUUGCGCGGAUCCCGAUGGCGUCGAGGUGUCCAUGAUCAGAAGAGGGUUCAUGAUGGCGCACACCAACAGUUUAGAUCGAUGGAGUUUGUGUACCGAGGGGAAGACGAUGGGAGAUGAGCUUGUGGCAACUUGCUGGCUGGAGUUGUAUGCAUCGGAGAAGUACAUGAUCGGGAUAACUGUGACAACUUGAUGGGGAGAGAUGUGACACCUUAAAAGGGAAUAUAAGUAAUCAAGAGCGAUUAUUUAAGUUUAUGUCAAAUUGCUCAAGUGCAAUGCAGUGUGACGACUUGAAAGGAAGGGCGAUAGAACACCCCAAUAAAGUAUUGCUUAAAGGAAUUUUGACGAAGCGCCAACCUGUUGGAAAUGGUCCUCAACGAAGGACGCACGAGGAAUGCGAGUAGAAGAAUGACAUUUAGCAGGAAGCAGCCAAAAAGCGCGAAACUCAAGGCCACCACACCCGGAUUAUCCUGCCAUCUUUCUACGUCUCCCUGAUCUGAG